GACGAACGCUGGCGGCGUGCUUAACACAUGCAAGUCGAACGGAGUGGCGAACGGGUGAGUCACACGUGUGUGUUCUGCCUUGCACUUCGGGAUAAGCUUGGGACACUGGGUCUAAUACCGGAUAGUGCAAGAUGAGCUCGCGGCCUAUCAGCUUGUUGGUGGGGUAUUGGCCUACGCAGGCGUCGACGGGUAGCCGGCCUGAGAGCGUGUACGGCGACAUGGGGCCUGAGAUAGGGCCCAGACACGUACGGGAGGCAGCGGUGGGGAAUAUUGGACAAAGGGCGCAAGCUUGAUGCAGCGACGGGGGGUGGGGAAUGUAGGCGGUCGGGUUGUAAACUCCUUACGACAGGUAAGCGGUACCGGUAGAAGAAGCACCGGCUAACUACGUGCCAGCAGCCGCGGUAAUUC
rnacentral:rRNA from 1 species